rnacentral:lncRNA from 1 species
CGGAAUUUGAAAAAAUAUUCCAGAAUUUUAAAAAUGAUCCGGAAUUGAAAAAAUGUUAAAAGGAAACAUAAAAUUCUGGGAAUAUUUUUUCGAAAAAGGGUUGGAAUUAUUAAUAAUUGCGGCAUUACAAAACUGUUCCUAAUUUUACAUAAAAAAUUGAAACCCAAAUCUCAACCCCGCUAUGUGUUGUUAUAUUAUUCUGCGCCUUCUAUUAAAAGAAGUUGAUAUUGGUUUGUUGUCUAAUAGGUUGUUGUUAGUGACCUGUGUUGCGCUAGGUAUUAGGAUCGGAUCCUGUUUCUCUUGAAUUUUUUUCUUUUUUGUGGCGUGAUAGGGAACAGCAAAAGCACGGUCAGUGCGCCGGCCCAGUUGGAAGACUGCAUGUGCGAAAACUAGCCAUCCUGCCGUAGAAUGCGGCGUAUGGGGACUCUCAAGGGAUAAGUACUCAUCUAACUUAAAUUUAGAAAACGAAAGUGGCUGACUGCUUGCCUCCCACGCUAGCCAUUCAACAUCAGCCGCGCGAGGCCUCCUGGACCGGCCCGGUUUCCCAACACCAUUACGUCUUCAAACAGGCCGCGGGAGCAAAAAUUCUCAGGUGAAGGCGUAAUUCCAGGUCUCCGCUUUAUCCACUCUUUAGCGGAAAAACGAAACGCCGUCUCCCAGCUGCAGCAAGACUGGAGAACUUUUUUAUUAUUACCAAAAAUUCCUUUGCCUGUUCCUGCAUCGCCUGCACAGAUAAUAGAAGAUGUCCAUCGCCCGUUCUUGCAUCUCGCAUGCUGCUCUGAAGAUUUCUCCACCCAGCCAUGAGAAAAGCCUUCUGACACAGGAUUUCUUCACCCAGCAUGCUGCGAAGCGCGUCCAUCAGUGCGCCGGCAGGGCAGGGUCGGCCGCCGGCGGUCACAGCGACGG